UCUUCCGUAGUAUAGUGGUCAGUAUGUGAGCUUGUCAACUCAUCCCCAAGAGGAUGCCUGACGUCGCUCGAGACCCGGGUUCAAUUCCCGGCGGGAGAG